UACGAAGGGGGCUAGCGUUGCUCGGAAUCACUGGGCGUAAAGGGCGCGUAGGCGGAUCUUUAAGUCGGGGGUGAAAUCCUGAGGCUCAACCUCAGAAUUGCCUUCGAUACUGGAGAUCUUGAGACCGGAAGAGGUGAGUGGAACUGCGAGUGUAGAGGUGAAAUUCGUAGAUAUUCGCAAGAACACCAGUGGCGAAGGCGGCUCACUGGUCCGGUACUGACGCUGAGGAGCGAAAGCGUGGGGAGCGAACAGG
rnacentral:rRNA from 1 species